rfam:Strigamia maritima strain Brora ctg7180001230739, whole genome shotgun sequence.
AGUCUCAUAGUGUAAUGGUCAGCACCCUGGACUCUGAAUCCAGAAAUCCCAGUUCGAUUCUGGGUGAGACUG